AACCCGCCUGCAUGAAGUUGGAAUCGCUAGUAAUCGCGGAUCAGCAUGCCGCGGUGAAUACGUUCCCGGGCCUUGUACACACCGCCCGUCACACCAUGAGAGUCGGGAACACCCGAAGUCCGUAGUCUGACCGCAAGGGGACGCGGCCGAAGGUGGGUUCGAUAAUUGGGGUGAAGUCGUAACAAGGUAUC
rnacentral:rRNA from 1 species